GACAUAGGUGGCAAACGUUAUCCGGAAUUACUGGGCGUAAAGAGUGCGUAGGUGGUUGAAUAAGUUACUGGUCGGAAAAUCGGGGCCCAACCCCGUGGAAGUCAGUAAUACUAUUCAACUCGAGGACUGGAGAGGUUAACGGAAUUCUAUGUGUAGCGGUAAAAUGCUCAAAUAUAUAGAGGAACACCAAACGGCGAAGGC
rnacentral:rRNA from 1 species